rnacentral:rRNA from 1 species
GAUGAACGCUAGCGGCAGGCCUAACACAUGCAAGUCGAGGGGCAGCACAGAAACAGCAAUGUUUUGGUGGCGACCGGCGGACGGGUGCGUAACGCGUUUGCAACCUACCUUUAACAGGGGGAUAACGGAGAGAAAUUUCCACUAAUACCCCAUAACAUCGAUCAAGGCAUCUUGAUUGGUUGAAAACUCCGGUGGUUAAAGAGGGGCAUGCGUUGUAUUAGGUAGUUGGUGGGGUAAUGGCUCACCAAGCCUACGAUGCAUAGGGGGACUCAGGUUAGCCCCCCACACGGGUACUGAGACACGGACCAGACUCCUACGGGAGGCAGCAGUGAGGAAUAUUGGUCAAUGGGGGCAACCCUGAACCAGCCAUGCCGCGUGCAGGAAGACGGCUCUAUGAGUUGUAAACUGCUUUUAAACAGGGAUAAAGCACAGUAUGUAUACUGUGUUGAAGGUACUGUAAGAAUAAGGAUCGGCUAACUCCGUGCCAGCCGCCGCCGUAA